rnacentral:misc_RNA from 1 species
AAAUACUCAAUUUCAACUCUUUUGUUUUGAAAUUGGAUGUUGGGUGUUGCUGUGUGUCACAGCUCAUCCUAAAUGCAUUAGCGAUCUGUCCUUUUGAUCACACACAAUGUGAUAAGAAAAAGCAUUGUUAAGAUCGGGUCGAGGUUGCUUCCAACCGUCGAAAGACAAACAUGUGUCA